CAGGUUUUGUUUCUAUGUAAGAAUGGAACUGAUAAAGCAAGAGAAGAGGGGAAAUAUGGAAAGACAGACCAGCAUUGAAAGCAAAGUCCUGAUGUGUUACAACACAGCUUGAAGAUGAGAUGGGACACUGUCUUGGAGCUUGAGGUCUGUCUGGGCCCAGGAAAAUGGAUACGUUUGCAGUGUUGUUUGAAAGCUGCACCGACCUCAAGAAGGAGCCCUGAUUGUGGUGCUGGCACAACAGCAGAUGGCAGGGGAGCAAAUCGAGGCAAGCACCUCUGAUGCACAUGUGGAC